rnacentral:lncRNA from 1 species
UGUUCUCUGCCUCUUCAUCAAUUUGGUCUCCAGGUUCUGAGGUAGUCUUUGUCCAGAGCAAUUGGCCUAGUACUAUCAGACUGUUGUCUCUGCCCUGCACUUUCCGAAAAGAGCAACUUGCAGCAGUUAGUAACUUCAUACAUUUGCGUUACCUAGACCUCAGAUGGUCACGCCUUGAAGAAUUACCUGAAGCCGUAUGCAAGCUUUACCUACUACAAGUUUUGAACAUAAAGCACUGUCCGUGCCUUCUUCAUUUACCUCCAAGGAUAGCCAACUUAUUAAACUUUGAGCAUCUGAUUGCUGAUGAAGGAAAACAUUUACUCACAGGAGUUCCAUGUGUUGGCAAUAUGACUUCCUUGCUUCUGUUGGAUAAGUUCUGUGUUAGGAAAACCAGGGGCUUUGACAUUGGACAACUGAAAAGGUUGAGGAACCUAAGAGGUUUGUUGAAAGUUCAGAAUCUCGAGAAUGUUGAUGGCAAUGAAGAAGCAGCAAAGGCUAGAUUGAGUGACAAAAGGCACCUAACUGAGCUGUGGCUGUCAUGGAGUGCCGGUUCUUGUGUACAAGAGCCUUCAGAACAAUACCACGUCCUGGAAGGUCUUGC